rnacentral:rRNA from 1 species
AGCAGUAGCCACGGUAAUACGAAGGUCCCGAGCGUUGUUCGGAAUCACUGGGCGUAAAGGGAGCGUAGGCGGCGUGGUAAGUCAGAUGUGAAAUCCCGGGGCUCAACCCCGGAACUGCAUCCGAUACUGCCGUGCUAGAGGAUUGGAGAGGUAGCUGGAAUUCUUGGUGUAGCAGUGAAAUGCGUGGAGAUCAAGAGGAACACUCGUGGCGAAAGCGAGCUACUGGACAAUAUCUGACGCUGAGGCUCGAAGGCCAGGGUAGCGAAAGGGAUUAGAUACCCGAGUAGUCCCUGUCUCUUAUAC